rnacentral:rRNA from 1 species
UGAAAUCCCCGGGCUCAACCUGGGAACUGCAUUCGAAACUGGCAGGCUUGAGUCUUGUAGAGGGGGGUAGAAUUCCAGGUGUAGCGGUGAAAUGCGUAGAGAUCUGGAGGAAUACCGGUGGCGAAGGCGGCCCCCUGGACAAAGACUGACGCUCAGGUGCGAAAGCGUGGGGAGCAAACAGGAUUAGAUACCCUGGUAGUCCACGCCGUAAACGAUGUCUACUUGGAGGUUGUGCCCUUGAGGCGUGGCUUCCGGAGCUAACGCGUUAAGUAGACCGCCUGGGGAGUACGGCCGCAAGGUUAAAACUCAAAUGAAUUGACGGGGGCCCGCACAAGCGGUGGAGCAUGUGGUUUAAUUCGAUGCAACGCGAAGAACCUUACCUGGUCUUGACAUCCACAGAACAUUCCAGAGAUGGAUUGGUGCCUUCGGGAACUGUGAGACAGGUGCUGCAUGGCUGUCGUCAGCUCGUGUUGUGAAAUGUUGGGUUAAGUCCCGCAACGAGCGCAACCCUUAUCCUUUGUUGCCAGCGGUCCGGCCGGGAACUCAAAGGAGACUGCCAGUGAUAAACUGGAGGAAGGUGGGGAUGACGUCAAGUCAUCAUGGCCCUUACGACCAGGGCUACACACGUGCUACAAUGGCGCAUACAAAGAGAAGCGACCUCGCGAGAGCAAGCGGACCUCAUAAAGUGCGUCGUAGUCCGGAUUGGAGUCUGCAACUCGACUCCAUGAAGUCGGAAUCGCUAGUAAUCGUGGAUCAGAAUGCCACGGUGAAUACGUUCCCGGGCCUUGUACACACCGCCCGUCACACCAUGGGAGUGGGUUGCAAAAGAAGUAGGUAGCUUAACCUUCGGGAGGGCGCUUACCACUUUGUGAUUCAUGACUGGGGUGAAGUCGUAACAAGGUAACCGUAGGGGAACCUGC